rnacentral:RNase_P_RNA from 1 species
UCGGCUGGUCAGAUGAUCGCGUCAUCUAAGAUGCCGAGGAAAGUCCGCACUCCGCAGAGCAAGAUGCCGGGUAACACCCGGAGCGGGGAAGCCUAUUUAUAGGAUAACCUGCUGGAUCGGGCCACAGAAACAAACUGCCAAAUUGGUGAUGGUGAAAAGGUAGUGUAAGAGACUACCGGCGUUCGUAGUAAUACGACGGCCAGGCAACCCCUAUCUGGAGCAAGGCCAAGCAGAAACAAGAGGUAUUUUGUUCGCAAAAUACGGUGGAGUUGCUCGCUCCAUAAAAAGUUUCGGGUAGGCUGCAAGAAUAUUUUGGUAACAAAAUAUCUAGAGAGAUGAUCAUCACGAUUUUUAUCGUACAAAAUGCGGCUUAUCGACCAGCCAAAACC